AAAAUAUGAUGAGAUUAAUCUUCAGGUCCGUGUUUUUGAUAACAGCUGAUACCAACUGAAGAGCUGAUCUU
rfam:Lingula anatina scaffold127, whole genome shotgun sequence.